CCUACGGGAGGCAGCAGUGAGGAAUAUUGGACAAUGGGCGAAAGCCUGAUCCAGCCAUGCCGCGUGAAGGAUGAAUGCCCUAUGGGUUGUAAACUUCUUUUAUACAGGAAGAAACCUUUGGAUUUAUCCAGAGCUGACAUUACUGUACGA
rnacentral:rRNA from 1 species